rnacentral:rRNA from 1 species
AGAGUUUGAUCAUGGCUCAGGAUGAACGCUAGCGGCAGGCUUAAUACAUGCAAGUCGUGGGGCAGCAGGGGUGUAGCAAUACACUCGCUGGCGACCGGCAAACGGGUGCGGAACACGUACGCAAUCUACCCAUAACUGAUGAAUAGCCCUCCGAAAGGAGGAUUAAUACAUCGUAACAUAUUAGAAAGGCAUCUUUUUAAUAUUAUAGCUCCGGCGGUUAUGGAUGAGCGUGCGGCUGAUUAGGUAGUUGGUGGGGUAAUGGCCUACCAAGCCUACGAUCGGUAGCUGGUUUGAGAGGAUGAUCAGCAACACUGGGACUGAGACACGGCCCAGACUCCUACGGGAGGCAGCAGUGGGGAAUCUUAGACAAUGGGCGAAAGCCUGAUCUAGCCAUGCCGCGUGGGUGAUGAAGGCCUUAGGGUCGUAAAGCCCUUUCGCCGGGGAAGAUAAUGACGGUACCCGGUAAAGAAACCCCGGCUAACUCCGUGCCAGCAGCCGCGGUAAUACGGAGGGGGUUAGCGUUGUUCGGAAUGACUGGGCGUAAAGCGCGCGUAGGCGGAUCGCAAAGUUGGGGGUGAAAGCCCAGGGCUCAACCCUGGAAUUGCCUUCAAGACUCGCGGUCUGGAGUUCGAGAGAGGUGGGUGGAAUUCCGAGUGUAGAGGUGAAAUUCGUAGAUAUUCGGAGGAACACCAGUGGCGAAGGCGGCCCACUGGCUCGACACUGACGCUGAGGCGCGAAAGCGCGGGGAGCAAACAGGAUUAGAUACCCCAGUAGUCC